UCGGAGGUGGGAUGGCUGGGUCGUAGGGUCGUACUGUUUUUCGUUUUUGCGGGACCUCCGUAUUGUUUUCCACAGUGGUGGCACCAGCUUGCUUUCCCAGAGGC